UUAUUAUGAUGACUUGCCAUGCUAAUACCGAGGAAGUUUUAGACUUUCACUGAGUUAACCAAAGCUAUUCCUGAUUUGAACUGCCAAGA